AUUGAACGCUGGCGGCAGGCCUAACACAUGCAAGUCGAGCGGAUGAAGGGAGCUUGCUCUUGGAUUCAGCGGCGGACGGGUGAGUAAUGCCUAGGAAUCUGCCUGGUAGUGGGGGAUAACGUCCGGAAACGGGCGCUAAUACCGCAUACGUCCUGAGGGAGAAAGUGGGGGAUCUUCGGACCUCACGCUAUCAGAUGAGCCUAGGUCGGAUUAGCUAGUUGGUGGGGUAAAGGCCUACCAAGGCGACGAUCCGUAACUGGUCUGAGAGGAUGAUCAGUCACACUGGAACUGAGACACGGUCCAGACUCCUACGGGAGGCAGCAGUGGGGAAUAUUGGACAGUGGGCGAAAGCCUGAUCCAGCCAUGCCGCGUGUGUGAAGAAGGUCUUCGGAUUGUAAAGCACUUUAAGUUGGGAGGAAGGGCAGUAAGUUAAUACCUUGCUGUUUUGACGUUACCAACAGAAUAAGCACCGGCUAACUUCGUG
rnacentral:rRNA from 1 species